CCUACGGGGGGCAGCAGUGGGGGAUAUUGCACAAUGGGGGGAACCCUGAUGCAGCGACGCCGCGUGGGUGAAGGAGCGUUUCGGUGCGUAAAGCCCUAUCGGCAGGGAAGAAGAUGACGGUACCUGACCAAGAAGCCCCGGCUAACUACGUGCCAGCAGCCGCGGUAAUACGUAGGGGGCAAGCGUUAUCCGGAUUUACUGGGUGUAAAGGGGGCGCAGACGGCAAUGCAAGCCAGGAGUGAAAGCCCGGGGCCCAACCCCGGGACUGCUCUUGGAACUGCAUGGCUGGAGUACAGGAGGGGCAGGCGGAAUUCCUAGUGUAGCGGUGAAAUGCGUAGAUAUUAGGAGGAACACCGGUGGCGAAGGCGACCUGCUAGAACAUAACUGACGCUGAUGCGCGAAAGCGUGGGGAGCAAACAGGAUUAGAUACCCUGGUAGUC
rnacentral:rRNA from 1 species